rnacentral:rRNA from 1 species
AGCGAACGCUGGCGGCAGGCUUAACACAUGCAAGUCGAGCGGACCUUUCGGGGUCAGCGGCGGACGGGUGAGUAGCGCGUGGGAACGUGCCUUCUGGUCUGGAAUAACCCUGGGAAACUAGGGCUAAUACCGGAUACGCCCUUUUGGGGAAAGGUUUACUGCCGGAAGAUCGGCCCGCGUCUGAUUAGCUAGUUGGUGGGGUAACGGCCUACCAAGGCGACGAUCAGUAGCUGGUCUGAGAGGAUGAUCAGCCACACUGGGACUGAGACACGGCCCAGACUCCUACGGGAGGCAGCAGUGGGGAAUAUUGGACAAUGGGCGCAAGCCUGAUCCAGCCAUGCCGCGUGAGUGAUGAAGGCCUUAGGUUGUAAAGCUCUUUUAUCCGGGACGAUAAUGACGGUA